rnacentral:rRNA from 1 species
ACCCCUACGGGAGGCAGCAGUCGAGAAUAAAUCUCAAUGGGGGAAACCCUGAAGGAGCGACACCGCGUGGAGGAUGAAGGUCUUCGGGUUGUAAACUCCUGUCACCCGGGAACAAUGCUUACGUAUUAACUGUACGUGAGUUGAUAGUACCACCCUAGGAAGAGACGGCUAACUCUGUGCCAGCAGCCGCGGUAACGCC